ensembl:lncRNA
AUAACAACCCCCUUGUUUAAACUCUAUUAUUCAGACUACUUUUCACUGGGAUGUUAUUAUUAACUGCACAAAGCAACAGGUAAUAAUAAUCUGAGGUCAAAUUUAGUGAUAUCAUCAGCACACACAUAUGCCCUCUGCGUCCACACAGCUGUUGCAGAUUGGUUGCUUGGCUCUCUGCUGCUUUACAUUGCAAAUACACCCGUGUUUACAUUUGCUCUGCACUGACAAUGGUCACUAUGGGUUACCUUGACUCACAACACAGGUAACCAAUGAGAUCUCGCAGCAUGGGAGGGGAGGGAGGGGUGCGUGUGUUUGGGGGGGGGGGGGGGGGGGGGGCUCAGUUCUCUGGAAAAAUGAAAAGAGGAAGCGUGAACUGACAACGACUAGAAAAAGAAGAAAAAAAAAUCACCGUGAUCUACGCUGAUCUGUGAUCUCACGUCUGCGUGACGCACUCUCUCUGGUGGCUAGACACUGACAGGAGGGAACUGAUCCCACGCCUGUAAGCAGAUGAAGGUUCUGUGUUUGCCAAAAGUAAUGAGAACAAUUUCCGUUUCCCUCUUGGAUCUUGCAGGCAGCUGCUGCUCUGUCACAUACAGGCACGAGCUGUAAACACAAAGGUAAGCAGACUGCUUCUUAUUCCAUACAACAGGCCUACUACUCUGUAUAGUAUAGAAAGGAGACACAGAAAAAAGACCAAAAGAAAAAAAGAACUAAAUAUAACAAAAGAAAAUGUUAGAAGACGUUUGGGUGUAUGACUGUAUGCUGCAUGACAUGUGCUGAAGAGAAAGUGAAAGUACUUUUCAGAGAGUGUAGGGUUUUGAGCGCGGCUGUUUGACUCUCUAUAAAUGCUGUGCCAGAAAAUAAAGAAAGAAAGAAAGAAAGAAAGAAAGAAAGAAAGAAAGAAAGAAAGAAAGAAAGAAAGAAAGAAAGAAAGAAAGAAAGAAAGAAAUACCUUUCCAAUGAUUUACUUUCAGUGACGGCUAAACCACUCACGUUUGCACGCGAGAGAGAUUGUAAAAACAGUAUUGCGACCACCUCUGCUGUUCUCUGGCAGACCAUAUUUUACUGCAUUCAUUUAACAAGGCCUGGUUACCCCAAGCAACAAGAGGGGCUUAUCAGCUGCUGCCUCUCUUACCAUGCUGUUAUCAGCCUGGCCUAGUUCACGCACACACAUAUAUAUAACACUGUUCCUUUCUGUCAAACACACCCGCACGCUUUCUAUCUCAGUCUCUGACUCUCUCUCAUGCGCACACACACGUAAACUGGGGAAUGAAUGUUAUGGGGGGCUUAUCAGUGUCCUUAGGGGCCUGGCAGCCACUUCACAGACUCAGAUCCCAGUGCAGAGGCCACAGAGACAAACCUAUGUGACCAGAGUGCUGAUGAACACCACAUACUGUGAGAGACUGCAGGCUGCAGGGCACGGUAACAAUGAACGUAUACAUGUGGCAGCACAAAGGCAAGGCCCUGGUGGCUACUACUAAAAAAAAAAUAAAGAGAGGAAGGGACAAAUGUUUCUUUUAAUGUGUUCUGUUGGGGUGUGACGAGUGAAACUUCACCGCCUUGUUUACUUCAAUAGAACAGAAAAUGCAAGCUGCAGUCUUCAUGUUUUGUACUUUGCACUUGUAUUCACUGGAACUACGCAAGCAUGGCAACUUGCCAUGCUGUAUAACCAGAGCAGACUUGCAGGUUAGGACGUACAAAAAAGCCAUUAGUUAUGUUCAUUAUGCAGUUUAGCUUGGCUACAAAAGGCAAAAAAAAAAAAUGUAAAAAAAACUAAUCAUAGUAAUAAUAAUUUGAAAAUAAAACCAUCUUGAAAUAUGUUAGAGAAUGACUAAUUCAACUCGCCAUUAACUACAUUGCAUACUAAAAUGUCCAUUAUCAAAAAAACAUUAACUUACAUCAACUAUAUUACUAAUAUAUGUCAUAAUAGGACAUUAAACUCUAUUUAUUCUGCUUAAAAUGAUAUUAAACACAAUGGAAAUGUUAUUUAUAAAUGGCAUUAUUUUAGACUGUUACUGUUAUUCUGCUAAUUUAC